rnacentral:lncRNA from 1 species
UGGUUGUGCUUGGUGGUGACUGGUGAAGAAUAUUGCAUAUGAUGAGCUGUUCUGCUAGAAGAUGGGAGUGGUGAAGAAUAUUUUUGAUGAUUCAUGUACAUUUUUCUUAGAUAAUGAUGAUUCAUGUACAUUAACCGCCACGUUUGAUGUCAGGCUUCUGGUCGUGUCAUCCCACUCCUUUUUUUUCCCAGAUUCUUCGCAGGUGCAUCGUUUGUACGAUGAGUUCUUUCCUAUCUCGAUCUGGUCAAGAAUUCAUGGUUUUGCUUAGGUGGCACAUACAGAUUGUAAGUAGUAAGUAUAUAUAUAUGGAAGGUACUUCGUCAAUGUUCAAUAGAAAUCAUCGCAAGCCUAGCAGAAGUGCAGAACAUUUGGGCACCUGAAUGGGUGUAAGGCGUGUAACUUCCAUAC